UGUGACUUCAGACAUUCUGGUUCUCUAGUUCCCUAUUUCCUUUCUUGUCAGGAAAUUAGAUAAAAAUUCUAAAUUUUACUUUUCAGUGUCAUCCAUGCUCCAUUACCAAGUCCUGUUGACAAAGUUGCUGCUAACACUCCAAGUAUGUACUCUCAGGAACUAUUCCAACUUUCUCAGAAUCUACAGGAGGCCUUACAUCGGG